CAGUCGCCACGGUAAUACGUAGGGUGCGAGCGUUAAUCGGAAUUACUGGGCGUAAAGCGUGCGCAGGCGGUUUUGUAAGACAGGCGUGAAAUCCCCGGGCUCAACCUGGGAAUGGCGCUUGUGACUGCAAAGCUAGAGUGCGGCAGAGGGGGAUGGAAUUCCGCGUGUAGCAGUGAAAUGCGUAGAUAUGCGGAGGAACACCGAUGGCGAAGGCAAUCCCCUGGGCCUGCACUGACGCUCAUGCACGAAAGCGUGGGGAGCAAACAGGAUUAGAUACCCGUGUAGUCCCUGUCUCUUAUAC
rnacentral:rRNA from 1 species